rnacentral:lncRNA from 1 species
AUGCUGAGGGACAACGACACUCAAAACGCUACAAAAACCAUCACGUCCUUGGCUGAGACAGGCACUGGGACCAGGACCGGGACCAGGACCGGGACCAGGACCUUUAAACAGCUUUGUAAAAAGAGAGUGUCUGGGGAUUUUGCAGCUGGAGUCGGUGUUUUUCCUGUGUCUGCCCUCGUGGGUGGAGUCCCUGGUGUCUCACCUGAGUUCCAUCCACGGUUAAUCAGCAGAAGGUUCUUGAGGCCAGCGCUGUCCUCCACUCGCCACCAGUUUGUCAGCUACGUUCUGUUAGUGGUCAAUCUACAGACGCAUCCACUGCUGAAGCUUCUAUCGGACGCUGGUCAUACCUGGAAAGUUCAUCUGUAA